GAAUUUUGGACAAUGGGCGACAGCCUGAUCCCGCACUGCCGCGUGCAGGAUGAAGGCCUUCGGGUUGUAAACUGCUUUUGUCCGGAACGAAACGCUUUUGUUUACUCCCCUGGCGUCAUUACGGUACCGUAAUAAUAAGCACCUGCUAACUCCGUCCCAGCCGCCGCGGUAAUACGUAGGGUGCAAGCGUUAAUCGGAAUUACUGGGCGUAAAGCGUGCGCAGGCGGUUUGGUAAGACAGAGGUGAAAGCCCCGGGCUCAACCUGGGAACUGCCUUUGUGACUGCAAGGCUAGAGUACGGCAGAGGGGGGUGGAAUUCCGCGUGUAGCAGUGAAAUGCGUAGAUAUGCGGAGGAACACCGAUGGCGAAGGCAACCCCCUGGGCCUGUACUGACGCUCAUGCACGAAAGCGUGGGGAGCAAACAGG
rnacentral:rRNA from 1 species